UUAACUUCGGGAGAAUUUGUG
rnacentral:siRNA from 1 species